UUUUCACUAGCCACUUUCUUCAAAAAGGAGGAGAUCUUGCAAGUACCAAAGGAAAGUAGAAAGGUUUCAAGAAUAAUUAAAGCCAGUCAAACUUUUGACUGUUGAUUUUUGUGUAAUCAAGAGUUUAGAGAAGAAGUUGCAGGUACAAGUUCUUGAUGUGCAUGGAAAUCAUAAGCAUCCGGAUGGGAGUUUUAGUACACGAGUACUUUCUUAUUUAAGUUAUCUUGAAUUUUAUAUUUGACUUUACUUGACCAAUGGGGUCAAGGUUUGACUUUUGAAUAUGGGACUAGUAUGGGAUAGUCUCGGAGUUUGUAAUUCAUUUACAUACUUUCUUAUUUCUAUUGUAUUAAAGUAUUUCCAGUUUAUUUUAAAAGACUUCCGCUGUAUUA